rnacentral:rRNA from 1 species
CUACGGGGUGCACCAGUGGGGAAUAUUGCACAAUGGAGGAAACUCUGAUGCAGCAACGCCGCGUGGAGGAUGACACUUUUCGGAGCGUAAACUCCUUUUAUAUAGGAAGAAGAUGACGGUACUAUAUGAAUAAGCGCCGGCUAACUCCGUGCCAGCAGCCGCGGUAAUACGGAGGGCGCAAGCGUUACUCGGAAUCACUGGGCGUAAAGAGCGUGUAGGCGGAUUAAAAAGUCAGAAGUGAAAUCCUAUAGCUUAACUAUAGAACUGCUUCUGAAACUCUUAAUCUAGAAUAUGGGAGAGGUAAAUGGAAUUUCUGGUGUAGGGGUAAAAUCCGUAGAGAUCAGAAGGAAUACCGAUUGCGAAGGCGAUCUACUAGAACAUUAUUGACGCUGAGACGCGAAAGCGUGGGGAGCAAACAGGAUUAGAUACCCGGGUAGUC